UAGUAAAAACACAAGAUGUUUCCAUGUUACUGUGUGCAUGGAGACCCUCGCAGACAACGUGGCGAUUGUCUUCAGACGGUCAGAGCCGUGGCCCGGCAGCUGCAGGACAGGAUGCGCAGAGAGGCCGAGACCGGGAGGGAGGAGCCGAGCAGGCUGAGACGGACGGCACCUCCACUACCAGAGAAAUCCAGCGUUUCUGGUCUAGUACUGCGCAGAUAGUAGAAAUUAAGCUGCAAAUUGAAUUUCAAGAGAAACAAAAAAAGACAUUAAAUUUGAAUAAAUAUUCAAAAAGAGGGCGUAAUGAGACUGAAGUCUUGAAAACGUUACGAAUUCUACCUUUGUUGGUAAAGACUCCAGCAUCCUUGAAGCAGGCGCUCCGCUUGAAAAUAAAAGCGACGUGACUCCACCUCCCACCUGCAAGGCCCAAGACUGAUGUCAGUGCUGAUGUCCCAGAUGGCCUAGGUUGCUCUGGCCACGCCUCCUGUGGUGUCUGUCCUGGCAGUUGCGGUGCUGUCAGCCAGGGUCACAGAGCCUCCAUCAACACAACGGGAUCAGUGUUGUGAUAGGACAGCUGCAGAAAGCGGCAGGGAAAAGGGGAAGUGGGGGAGAAGCUGGGAAGGACAACAGGAGGAGUGGUGUUCUCAUUCCAUCAUUUGAGUUCUAGCUGAAUGCCCAGCAAGUCACAGUUCAGACCCAGCAGCCGACCAGCCAACAGCCAAGAGUGGCCUAUGCUUCAACGCAGGUGGACCAAGCUGUCUCUUAGAAAGGGUUGCACCCUGCAGGGUGGCUGUCCUGCCAGGCUGGGAAGUGGAGCCUCCAGCAGAGACACAAGCAGGCACUUCCGAAGCGAGGAGGCUGUGGCGGGUGUGUGCCCAACAGCUUGGCCAGGCGCACAUGUUCAACAGGUCACAGAACAGGUAUGAAUAUUCACAAAAGGGGAACAUGGACGUGUGUGACAGGCAAACACGCAUGUUACAUGGGUCCCAUCUUCACCUUGGGGUGGAGGCAUCACAUUCGAAUGCAUUACGAAUAAUUAGACCGUGCAUGCGAAAAGCUGAAGUGGGGACGGGAAGGCACUCUGUGCGCAGCCUCCACACCAGCCAGGGCCAUGCACACUUCGGUGCUCUCUGAUCAGGAGAAAGUCACCGCCGUCAGCCUUGUGGCCUGAUCAGGAGAAAGUUAGUGCCGUCAGCGUUGUGUCGUCACGGCUGUAGUCGUGGCUGGUGGAGCAGGGGUCGGUGAGUCCGCGUGUGUGAGCUGGGUAAGCUGCAGUUGCUUCAAUAUUGCUCGUCUUGAGGCCAGAGCUUGCUUAGCUGCUGGAGAGAAACAUCUUGUGGCCUCAGAACACGGUUUAUUCUGUAAGUGUGGGUGUAUGACUUGAACCUCACACAGCCCAGCCUUAGGUCCUGUUUGUAAUUUGGCAUCUGAUUGCCAUGAAGACUCUGUUCUGUCAGUCUUAGGGUCCCUGUUUUAACAGAAGGUUCCAGUUUUUUCUAUCUCCACCCAUGCCUACCUUCUUGGCCAUCCUUGUGGGUGUGAGGUGGAUCUCGCUGUGGUUGAGCUGCAUCUCCCUGAGGAGUGGCAUGGAAUGCGUCUCCGUGGCUGGCAAGUGGCAUGGAAUGUGUCUCCGUGGCUGGUGAGUGGCAUGGAAUGCAUCUCCGUGGCUGGUGGCCACUGCCUGGCAGUGCCCCAAAGAGAGCUUCUGUCAGGCUGAGCCUGGGGAGGGCGGGGCAGGGUUGUACCUCAACCACCACGGGCCGGUUCUGGGCUUGCUCCUGUCUGCCCUAAGUGUCCACAGACUUUCAGUGGCUGGUGCUUUGCUGAUGUCACCAGCCAAGCCUGCCUCACUGUGGGGUCAGCAGAAGUCAGUUCUCACUGUCUUCCUUGACCAAAAACCAGACCACAUCAGUGGCGGCUAUUUAUAUAUCAUAAGCGGCAUUUUGAUAAUUCUGGGUAUGUUGCUUUCUAAGAAAUGAGAGAAAACCAACGUGCUGGGAAUUAGCUGAUUCCAGGCUCUGCAGAGGCAGCAUUUCCCGUUUCGCUGCUUUGACCCCCUCUGAGGUCCAGUCCACCUCGGGAAAAUGACGGCAGUGUCGAAUUCUGUUAAACACAGAUCCAUCUGUUCAUCAUACCCUUUAACACACAGGUUCAGCACAGCCGCUGGUGACGUGUCAGAUCACAGUGGCCAGUAGCAGGGGCACGUGCAUCCAGCAGGCACAGCACAAGUUACUACAGCAGUGUGUCACCAUGGUUGGCUCACAGACGCCCGUGCUAGGGGCACGGAACCCUGGGCAGCUCUGGACGCUGCAAGGCCAAGGCAGCAGCCAAAGCCCAGAUGCAGCCUCCACUGGGAGGUUCCGGGCCCCAGCAGAGGCAAGGGCAGGCAUGGGGAGUGGGGUGGGAGUCACCCAAGACCUCAGCAGGGCGCCUUCCUUGACGUGCGCCCCGACCAAGGGGAUUCAGCACAUGCUCCAGUCGAGGAGGGCGCCCCCAUUCUCAUCCCCUUUGCUGUUGGACUGGGGUGGGACGUCCAGGGCUGCUGUUGCCUAGUUUUUACACUGGGAAGCUCCCAGGACUAGGACUGGCCCAGAAACCUGGACCCUAGGAGAAGCCUCUCAUUGGAUGACGACAGUAGACACUGGGAGGGCGGCUCUGUAGCCAAGGCCCCACGAUCCAGCACACACGAGGGUGCCUCGUGCAGCCUGCACUGAAGCUUGCCUUGUGUGGGAACGUUGCGUUUAUAUCCCGACGAAGUGUGUGCGUGUCUGGUGUGAGGUUUCUGGUCUGAGUGCGUCCCCGUGAGCGUCCAUCCUGCUCAUGGGAUUUGACUUCUCAUGUGUCAGCUUGGCCUGUGGCUCGGGGACAAGCGAAUGUAAGUCGAGGUGAGCCUCAGUCUCAGGAGUGUUUGCACACUGUCAUUCUACUGAAGCAGGUAUCUCCAGGCAGAGAAAGAACCAGUUCACUCCUAUUUCUUUGGAUAUUAUCAUACAAGACUUUCAAAACAGCCUCUUUACAGACAGUGGUCCGUGUUUCCAAGGCGUGUUUUCCAGCUUCACAGUGGAAAGUCUCAUGCUGUGAGUUGACUUUACACCCAGGCCGGGGACUGGUUACAAAGUAAAAUGUUGCGACCUGCACAGCUGACUUCUUUGGUCUGUGACAAUGCAAGCAACUCUGCCUGACACAGGCCUGGGGAAGGGUUUACCCGCAUUUCUCAGCGUUUGUUCCAAAAUCAGGACAGCCCACGUGGGUCCCUCAUGUGUCAGCGUGGGACUCUGGAGCGACCUUUCAGAGGGAAGAUGGUCAACACAUUUGUGUUGCUCUGAGAGCUAAUUUUUUAUUUAUUUAUUGUUUUUGAGACAGAGUUUCGCUCUUGUUGCUCAGGCUGGCGUGCAAUGGCAUAA